UGGGGAAUCUUGGACAAUGGGCGCAAGCCUGAUCCAGCCAUGCCGCGUGGAUGAUGAAGGCCUUAGGGUUGUAAAAUCCUUUCGUUGGGGACGAUAAUGACGGUACCCAAAGAAGAAGCUCCGGCUAACUUCGUGCCAGCAGCCGCGGUAAUACGAAGGGGGCUAGCGUUGUUCGGAUUUACUGGGCGUAAAGCGCGUGUAGGCGGAUUUGUAAGUUGGGGGUGAAAUCCCGAGGCUCAACCUCGGAACUGCCUCCAAAACUACAAGUCUGGACCUAAGUAGAGGCAAGUGGAAUUGCGAGUGUAGAGGUGAAAUUCGUAGAUAUUCGCAGGAACACCAGUGGCCAAGGCGACUUGCUGGACUUAUGGUGACGCUGAGACGCGAAAGCGUGGGGAGCAAACAGGAUUAGAUACCCCGUAGUCCCUGAGCGGGC
rnacentral:rRNA from 1 species